rnacentral:misc_RNA from 1 species
GUAGGUUAUUGCCAGGGUUUUUAUUUUUAUACUUUAAAUUUUGAUUUUAUUUUUAUGUUAUKUAAAUAAUACAUUUAAAAACACCAAUAUUUAAAUAACAUAAAAAUAAAAUAUAUAUUGACAUGGAUUAAACAAAGGUAUAUAUUAUUUUAUGUUGCAUAAACAAAUUGGCAAAAUAGAGAUGGAAGAUGAAGAUAUGGGCCAAGGAAUAAGAGUC